AUUACAUUGCGUGCAGCUGCAGGGACCAAAAACGAUAAGUCAUCCUCGCGUACACGGAGAGAAUUUAAAUUUGAAAACUUUUAAAUGAUGUACACCCCGCUUUCGUGAAAGGUAAUCACGAUUUGCGAGUCCGGCUGAACUGGUACGCGGAUUUUGUGAACGGGGUUCCAUUCCUCUUCUCCGCCGUGAGAUACAUGGUCAUGUGGAAUCGCAUUUUCACGAUUUCAGAAUGGAAAAAAUCGAAAAUCGUUAGAAAUUCGCCGUUGAAUGGAGCAUCAGCGGAGAUGCGCGCUAUCUUCGAUGAGCUGAUUAACAAACCUCCACUGUGCGCGGUAUAAACUUGGCCGCAUCGCGGACCGCAGAGGAUGGACUUGCUCGUGGACUUACAAGGCGGACGGACCUGCGAUACAAUAUACUCGACGAGAAGACCGGCGAUACUCCUGUCCCUUCGCAGACCUUUCGACGAGCUUCCGGAAGAGGGUUUCACCUUCUGAGAUGGGGGUCUACGGGGGAACUUCUCCAUCCACGUUUUCAUUGUACCCAGGACGCGGGGACCCAGAGGGGUUCGGUUUCCACUCGGGAUAUCGCACCGACUAGCUGUUCGAAGGCCAUGGACAGAUCCGCGUUGACGAUCGUCUCGUCGAACAGGUGAGAGUAAAGAAAUUCUAUUCGGUCAGCGCUGUGGAUCAUCUCGUGGAACUCUUCGUCCUGGAACACGAGGGUGAGUCCGAAUUAACGAAUGAUUGGCGACGGCGCAAUUUUUCCCCGUGUUGA